rnacentral:lncRNA from 7 species
UCGCUGUGCUACCCACAAGCAGUGGCUCUCCUGAAAAAAAGCCUGGCCCCACAGAGCUGGCAUCAAGCAAACCACAGUCCUUUCCUGUGCUGUGCAGAUUCAACCACACAAUAUAAAUCUGGAGAGUUACACCGCUUCUAGGAGAACCUGACCUCAAGUCAGCAAAGUGCAACUGAGAGACUUAAAAUAAGAAAGGCAGGCUACCCUUAUGGAGAACUCCUUGCUGAGACAUGAAGAGAGAGAAUUUGGACAGCAGGAGCACUGUUCUUCAUCACAACAUCAGGAGCUUCACAGUCCUGUUGAGAAGGAGCUGAGAUUUACAGUUCCCUUUGCUGUUCCAUAGGAUUGCUCCAGCGUAACCAGGUCUCAGAGAAGUGAGAUAUUUGUUUUGGCUCUCAAGUUAGAAGGAGCACAGGUAUGAAACAAGGAGAUCAACAGUCCCUGCCUCCUGGGGGAACUUGUCACCAAUAGCUGUAAAGUUCUUCUCUAAAUACAGGAUCGCCUGUUUAAGAACGUUGACAUCAAAACUCAUUCUGAUCUCCGUCAGAAGAUGAGGAUCAGCAUCCCUAAGAAUCAGAGGCAAGAAGAGAGUUGUGCUGAUGCAGGACUGACCUCUUUUCCUGCUUCCACUAGCCCCCAGAGAAGGAACUGGAAGAGGAAGCACACGCAACUGGAAUUUGAGAGAAAAUCCUGCACGUUCUUGGGAUUCCUGCUAUCUGUGAUAGGCAGCACACACUUGUCUGGUUGUUUUACAAAUUCCACAUUCUGGAGAAUUACCGGAACAGCUGAUGGGUCCCAGGAGUAAUCACAUGCAGGUACUCUCUUUUCCUGUGAAGCUGAACUCCACUAUUCCAAAAUUCACUGAUCCAAGUGCUAAAUCGCUACUGCCACUGCGUGCCUGCUGGGUGAUAACCUUUGUGUUUAAUACACAUAUCUUAAAGUUGUAUCUUUUGGCUUCCUUUUGCCAGAAUCUCUCUCUUCUGGAAGAAAAAUAAGUAGAGAAAAAAAAACACAAUGAAGCAUCUAUAGAAUAUGGCCUCGCAACCAGCAGCUGCCAAGCUCCUCCAGCUUGUUUUGAAGCAUCUUUAACAAGAGUGCUAGUAUAGUAUCAAAAAGGAAUACAGUUCCAAAAUAGUUUAAUCCAACUGCCCACUACUGUGUUAGCAACAAUACUAUAUAAAGAAUUCCAUUUAAAACCACUUUUACUCUCACAAUAAGGCUACAGUCUACUGAAUCACAUGGAGCUUCAAUUCCAUCUAGAAAUAGCCUCUUGAAGUUUCUAUCGUGGGAUGGCAUUCCCAAAUUUUGUUUACUUGAGUGCCACUACUGGUGGUGACAGCAACAGCAGCGACAAACUUCAGGAACCUGCACGUACUCCCAGGAAGGGCACACAUCCAGAUCCAACCUCUUGCACGAAAGGUUUUGGCAGCAAAAAGCAUUCCUUCUUCUGUACCCUUCUCUGCCUGCAUUGGUUACAACAUCAUGCUCAGAUACCACAACAGGGUAACUUUGUGCUGCUGUCUCACAUGUUCACCUUACCAAAGAGUCCCAACAGAACCCAGAAGACUUCUGAACAUUUAGACCUGUCGCAGAGGAAUGCAAAAGUGGGUGUUCCCACAUUCCCAGCUGAGCAGCAGGACAUCCCUCCACACAAAGACCCCACAGCACUUAUUCUGUCAGCUAGUGAGCAGUCUGAUCCCACAAAUGGCACUGCUCUGGGAAGCAGCGAAGACGUUCUGCCUCCAGUGAGGGCAAAACAGAUCCUUUACCAGCACCCAGCCGGACCCCCACUUUGAACCUCAGCCAGUGAAUGUACUGCUUAGGCAAGAGGCAGAACAGACACCAGCUUCUCUUGGCUCAGUGUCUAAGUGCUAUUACCCUGGCAGCCUCCACCAGGACUUAUCAGCAUGCCUCUAUUCCUGACCUGAUCCCACGUUGACGGACAACGCAGGCACUCCAUGGGCAGAUGGUUACUGUACUGCUUAGGAGCUAUAAUAAGUUUCAUAGCUUGGGAAUCCCCAGUACAUGGGAGUAGAGAUAGUGCAUUCUACAUGUAAAUCUUAAUAAAUCCGAUGUUU